rnacentral:rRNA from 1 species
AGUGAACGCUGGCGGUAGGCCUAACACAUGCAAGUCGAACGGCAGCACAGUAAGAGCUUGCUCUUACGGGUGGCGAGUGGCGGACGGGUGAGGAAUACAUCGGAAUCUACUUUUUCGUGGGGGAUAACGUAGGGAAACUUACGCUAAUACCGCAUACGACCUACGGGUGAAAGCAGGGGAUCUUCGGGCCUUGCGCGAUUGAAUGAGCCGAUGUCGGAUUAGCUAGUUGGCGGGGUAAAGGCCCACCAAGGCGACGAUCCGUAGCUGGUCUGAGAGGAUGAUCAGCCACACUGGAACUGGGACACGGUCCAGACUCCUGCGGGAGGCAGCAGUGGGGAAUAGUGGGCAAUGGGGGGAAGCCUUAUCCAGCCAUACCGCGUGGGUGAAGAAGGCCUUCGGGUUGUAAAGCCCUUUUGUUGGGAAAGAAAAGCAGCAGGUUAAUACCCCGCUGUUCUGACGGUACCCAAAGAAUAAGCACCGGCUAACUUCGUG